AAGAAACAUCUUUAGCAGCAACGCGAACGCGACUAUUUUAGCUUGUAAUCAUUCAAAAAUAUAUAUUAAAAAAAAAAUUAAGAUGUCCGACUACGAAGAAGAAGGGUACCAAGGCAACGGUGAGGAUUUCGAGAUCGACAAGUACGCUGCCGGUGGUGGUACUGGUGGUUCCUCUCCCCAGCCUCGCACUAGCAGCCACAGCCAUGGCGGUACAGACGAUCUCAGUGUUUCCAAAUCUAAGUAUGGAUAUCAUGACCAUGCAAGAGAGUCUUCAAAAAGUAGGGAAAAAGAAAGAGAAAGGAGGCUUGAUAGGGAGAGGGAUCGAAAUCUUGAAAGGGAUGAGGAUAGGAAUCAUGAGAGGGACAAGGAUAAGAAGAGAAGCAGGGACAGGGA
rnacentral:misc_RNA from 1 species